GAAAAAUAUGAUUCAAAAGUCAUAAACGACUUGAUACAAAAGUAUUGAUAAAUUAAAAAUUCAUUUAUACAGAUUGAUUUUUUUUUAUCAUGAACCAGUAAUUAUCUCUGAAGAUUUUUAGUGAAUUUGAUUUCUAUUUUUUUUGACCUUUGUAGAAUCGUUUAAGGUUUAUUUUAAAAUAAUUUUUAAUUUUUACCCUUAAUUCAUAUACCCUAAAUAAGAAUAUACUUUUAUUUUUCAAAUGGGAACCCCCUCCUUUUAAACACAGAUUCGAUUAAAGUAUAAUAUUUUUCUAGACAUUUUUAUACGUAUACCAAUAAUAUCAAAUUUACCGUUUAUAAGUUAUAACUGUUUAAAGUUUAGACUAGAAGAGUUAUCAAUUAUUAUCAUUUAAAAGUAGAUAUACAAUUAAUGGAGUAGAGAUAGAAAAACAAAAAUGGUUUUAAAGUAAAGCUUAAACAAUUGUUUAAAGAUUAAAAAAAAGAAUAGAAAUCAAAUUAACUUAAAAACUUCUGAGAUAAUUACUGGUUCAUAAUAAAAGAAAUCUCACUUUUUUUAGAAAAACUUUAAAUCCCUCCCCCCCACACAAAAAAAUUGCAAAUAUGGCCACUGUACAUACUUAAUACCUAAUACUUAUUAUACCUACCUAUACUUGCAUAAUAUAUUAUUUUCCAGCCUAACCUAACCUAACUGUUUUUUUUUUUUAAAUUUUGAUUUUAUAUCAGACAUCGCUAUAGAAUAUGAAGAUCUCAACAAUGAUAAAUUGAAAUUGACCUGGCCGGUAUUUACAGACGUGACAGGAAGUGGGAACAUUCUGACAAAAUGACUCUUUUAACCAUUCUUUAUUGACCUUUCACUGAUCAGACAUAUUUAGGCUAGGAUUCGUACAUCCCGUUGUCAGUUCUGCGUGAGACUUACAGGGAGCAGUGGAAAAAUCGUGCCAAGAAAAUCAACAAAUCAGAAAUCGGUAUACUGGUGUUUGCCUUAAAUAAAUUAUUUGUACAAUAUUAUUAUGAUAUGAUAGUUUGUAUUAGUUUUCAG